rnacentral:rRNA from 1 species
GAUGAACGCUGGCGGCGUGCCUAAUACAUGCAAGUCGAGCGAACGGACGAGAAGCUUGCUUCUCUGAUGUUAGCGGCGGACGGGUGAGUAACACGUGGAUAACCUACCUAUAAGACUGGGAUAACUUCGGGAAACCGGAGCUAAUACCGGUUAAUAUUUUGAACCGCAUGGUUCAAAAGUGAAAGACGGUCUUGCUGUCACUUAUAGAUGGAUCCGCGCUGCAUUAGCUAGUUGGUAAGGUAACGGCUUACCAAGGCAACGAUGCAUAGCCGACCUGAGAGGGUGGUCGGCCACACUGGAACUGAGACACGGUCCAGACUCCUACGGGAGGCAGCAGUAGGGAAUCUUCCGCAAUGGGCGAAAGCCUGACGGAGCAACGCCGCGUGAGUGAUGAAGGUCUUCGGAUCGUAAAACUCUGUUAUUAGGGAAGAACAUAUGUGUAAGUAACUGUGCACAUCUUGACGGUACCUAAUCAGAAAGCCACGGCUAACUACGUG